GCUAUGGGAGACAGGAAAUAAGACCUGCCUGACUCUAGCCAAGUAAAGAAGUCAGGAGCCUGGUAUUCCUGUGGAUUGAGAUUUGGUGUAAGAAGGAACCAAACUGAAGCCAUUUUGCGUAAAGCUUCCAUUUUGAAUAGGGGUCAAAUAACGUUUAAGUUCUCUAGACCUCCUUAGGCAACUGCCAUCCUGGUUGGUAAGUCACCCCACCACAGUUAAAUAAAUCAAACAGUGAGAACAGGAUAAAUGUACUACAAUAGGGAGAUGCCCCCAAGAAAGUCCUUCAUCCCAGAAUCGUGAUUCGUAGAACAUUCUAAGUGUAACUUGGCAUAGACGCCUGUAGCUUUGAGGCUUAAAAGUUUUGUUAACAUUCUACCUUGAGGUCACAGUUCAACUCCUGAGGCUGUUCUGCAUAUCUGAUCUAUCAAUAGUGGUUUGAUUGCAAUACAAAACAAUUUUCGUUUAC